rnacentral:rRNA from 1 species
AUUGAACGCUGGCGGGAGGCCUAACACAUGCAAGUCGAGCGAGCGGCGGACGGGUGAGUAAUGUAUGGGGACUGCCCGAUAGAGGGGGAUAACUACUGGAAACGGUGGCUAAUACCGCAUACUAUCGGAUAACCGAUAUGGGAUUAGCUAGUGGGUGGGGUAAAGGCUCACCAAGGCGACGAUCCCUAGCGGGUCUGAGAGGAUGACCAGCCACACUGGGACGGAGACACGGCCCAGACGCCGACGGAGGCAGCAGUGGGGAAUAUUGCACAAUGGGCGAAAGCCUGAUGCAGCCAUGCCGCGUGUAUGAAGAAGGCCUUAGGGUUGUAAAGUACUUUCAGCGGGGAGGCGUUACCCGCAGAAGAAGCACCGGCUAACUACGUGCCAGCCGCCGCGGUAAUUC